AUUGAACGCUGGCGGCAGGCCUAACACAUGCAAGUCGAACGAGUGGCGGACGGGUGAGUAAUGUCUGGGAAACUGCCUGAUGGAGGGGGAUAACUACUGGAAACGGUAGCUAAUACCGCAUACCCUCGGAUGUGCCCAGAUGGGAUUAGCUAGUAGGUGGGGUAAAGGCUCACCUAGGCGACGCUCCCUAGCUGGUCUGAGAGGAUGACCAGCCACACUGUAACGGAGCCACGGUCCAGACUCCUACGCGGGGCAGCAGUGGGGAAUAUUUCACAAUGGGCGCGAGCCUGAUGCAGCCAUGCCGCGUGUAUGAAGAAGGCCUUCGUGUUUGAAAGUACUUUCAGCGGGGAGGCGUUACCCGCAGAAGAAGCACCGGCUAACUCCGUGCCAGCCGCCGCGGUAAUAC
rnacentral:rRNA from 1 species